rnacentral:misc_RNA from 1 species
AGUCGUAACAAGGUCUCCGUAGGUGAACCUGCGGAGGGAUCAUUACACAAAUAUGAAGGCGGGCUGGAAUCUCUCGGGGUUACAGCCUUGCUGAAUUAUUCACCCUUGUCUUUUGCGUACUUCUUGUUUCCUUGGUGGGUUCGCCCACCACUAGGACAAACAUAAACCUUUUGUAAUUGCAAUCAGCGUCAGUAACAAAUUAAUAAUUACAACUUUCAACAACGGAUCUCUUGGUUCUGGCAUCGAUGAAGAACGCAGCGAAAUGCGAUAAGUAGUGUGAAUUGCAGAAUUCAGUGAAUCAUCGAAUCUUUGAACGCACAUUGCGCCCUUUGGUAUUCCAAAGGGCAUGCCUGUUCGAGCGUCAUUUGUACCCUCAAGCUUUGCUUGGUGUUGGGCGUCUUGUCUCUAGCUUUGCUGGAGACUCGCCUUAAAGUAAUUGGCAGCCGGCCUACUGGUUUCGGAGCGCAGCACAAGUCGCACUCUCUAUCAGCAAAGGUCUAGCAUCCAUUAAGCCUUUUUUCAACUUUUGACCUCGGAUCAGGUAGGGAUACCCGCUGAACUUAAGCAUAUCAAUAA